CCUACGGGGGGCAGCAGUGGGGAAUAUUGGACAAUGGGCGAAAGCCUGAUCCAGCCAUGCCGCAUGUGUGAAGAAGGCCUUCGGGUUGUAAAGCACUUUCAGUGGGGAAGAAAGCCUUGGGGCUAAUACCCUCGAGGAAGGACAUCACCCACAGAAGAAGCACCGGCUAACUCCGUGCCAGCAGCCGCGGUAAUACGGAGGGUGCGAGCGUUAAUCGGAAUUACUGGGCGUAAAGCGCGCGUAGGCGGUCUGAUAAGCCGGUUGUGAAAGCCCCGGGCUCAACCUGGGAACGGCAUCCGGAACUGUCAGGCUAGAGUGCAGGAGAGGAAGGUAGAAUUCCCGGUGUAGCGGUGAAAUGCGUAGAGAUCGGGAGGAAUACCAGUGGCGAAGGCGGCCUUCUGGACUGACACUGACGCUGAGGUGCGAAAGCGUGGGUAGCAAACAGGAUUAGAUACCCGAGUAGUC
rnacentral:rRNA from 1 species